AAAAGGGGUGUUAGUCAUUUAAAAUGAUAAGAAAUAGAACUCUGGGCAGCGAAAGCAUCGAGGUAAGUAGGUAAGUACACGGUUUAUAAUAUUAGUUUGUUGUUUUUUUAAUUACAAGUAGAUGCUCUUGUUGCCUGUCCUUGGUUUUGUCUCUCGCCAGCCUUUUCUUUUUCUUUUUUUUUAAUGACAGAUAAUUUUGUGUUAGAAAAAGAUAACAUGAAUUUAAAUUUGAUUUAACCCGGAAAUUUAGAAAUCUUUUCAACUUGAAACAGUCCGCUCAGUCAACUUACUACUUUAAUAUCAUUCUCCAUUAUUUAGAAAAGAAAUCCUAAUUGAUCUCUUUAACCCAGGAUUUGUUGGUUAUUGCAUGCAUCGUAUUAAACAAUUUCUCUCUGGAUAUUCAUCUUCGAUCAGAUUAAUUGAAUCCAGAAGCUCCAUGAAAAUAAUAAAUUUAUAUGAAAAAAGGGAUUGUAAUUCAUUCCUUUUGGUUUAUUUCAGUCGGUUAUCUCCAUUGAUAUUUUAGUUUCGAAAAUUAAUAACUAAGUUGGUUGAAUGAACCGAUAUUAAAUUUUGUAUAUUUAAAAAUAUUAUAAUAAAUAUUUUAAUUUAUAAUUUUUGUCAAUUUGUAAAGGAAUAUGCCACCUAAACAAAGGAAAAUUCCUAUGAGCCCAAGGAGGAAAAAACAUAGUGCAAUAAAUCUUUGAUCAGUUAUUGUUGAGAUGUGAGAUGAUUAGCAAUUCGGCAUUAAUAUAUCAUUUUUCUGAAUGUUCUUUUCCGACAGAUGCUUCCAUCUCCGAUGACUUCCCAAAUCCAAGUUCCGACAAGUCCUGCUUUGCCAUCAAGUUCCUGUGAAAAAGAACAAACAUUUUUCCAUUUUAACUCGUACUUAUGAAUGCACAUAUUAUAUACAAACAUACAAAACACACACAUAUAUUGCGACUUAGUUUACAGUAUGAAAAUUUUAAUGCCUAGAGUGUGGAUUAGCACGGGAUUUCAG
rnacentral:lncRNA from 1 species